rnacentral:tRNA from 1 species
GGCGACGUCGCCAAGUGGUAAGGCACGGCUCUGCAAAAGCUGAACCAGCGGUUCGAAUCCGCUCGUCGCCU